AAGGAAAGGAAAAGGAAGGAAGAAAAAGAAAAAGAAAGAAAAAGAGAAGUCUGACCAUACCUGACUGUGGGGUUUUACCCUUGGCAAAACACUUUCACCAAAGUUAUCUCAUCAUACAGAACCAGUGAGGUAGGUAGGGUAGGUGCGAUUAUGACAGUGACGCUGGACUAGCACAGGCACCUGCCUUAAGUCACAGAGGAUAGGUCAGGCAGAGCAAGUCUGGAAGCAGCCCCAUCUCCUGGCUCACCCCACCCAGGCUUCCCCCUCCUGCCAGCUGUCUGCACCGCCCCCCCUCCCCCAUCCUGGCUGAGACACUGUGGCUACAAUCAAGAAGCCACCUGUCUUGAGCCACCACCUUCAAAAGCCUUUCAUUCCGUCCUAAUGGGGCAAGGCGCCCAGGCCGCCCCACCCUUAGGGUGGAUUAGGCCUCCGCCUCCCUGUUGGGGUUUAAGGUACAUCAAAAGAGCUCCCUGCACCGAAAUAGCUCUCACAGGCCCUGUCGGGUAGCUUGAAAUCACACCAUGAGAGAUCUCUUUUAGGUAAAGGCAUUGUGCUUCGAAGGCCCCUGCUCCAAGCACCUGUGUCCCUGAGACAGACUCCCACGCGGCAGCCUCCAGGACCGCCUGGCUGCGGCUGUCUUUCCUGUCACUCUGGGCGUUGCAACAGACAUUGCCUAAUGCCAGCUUGCCGAUGGGAUUGGAUUGUUUCUAGCAAGUCCUGUGGGAAUGGGGCACAGCAUGGGGAAGUUGGAUCGCAGCUGAGGGAAGUGUGAGAAAGGUGCAGAGUGAGAGGGGAAAACAGGAUCGUAGAGGUAUGGGGACAGGAUUGGGAAGGAUGGGGAUUCACCCUUGGUAGGAGUGGAGGAGACCCUGAGUCCAAGAGUAAGACAGAGGGAAUGCCAUGAGCUGUCCGGAGACGCCGAGAGCGUCACCUCCUCUGUGACUGUUAACUCUGGGAAGGUGGCGUCUUUCACAUCCCAUCCCUCACAAGCAUUCAAACCUGAAGAGUUGGGGUAAUAAACAGGCUUGGACUUAACCUUCUGUCACAAAGAAGCAUUAGAAAUGAAGACCAAGGGGUGCCUGGGUGGCUCAGUCAGUUAAGCAUCUGCCUUUGGCUGAGGUCAUGAUCUCCGGGUCCGUGGGAU